rnacentral:rRNA from 1 species
UACGUAGGGUGCAAGCGUUGUCCGGAAUUAUUGGGCGUAAAGAGCUCGUAGGCGGUUUGUCGCGUCUGCUGUGAAAACUCGGGGCUUAACCCCGGGCCUGCAGUGGGUACGGGCAGACUAGAGUGCGGUAGGGGAGACUGGAAUUCCUGGUGUAGCGGUGAAAUGCGCAGAUAUCAGGAGGAACACCGGUGGCGAAGGCGACUUCCUGGCCUGUUCUUGACGCUGAGGCGCGAAAGCUAGGGGAGCAAACGGG